rfam:Triticum aestivum genome assembly, contig: Triticum_aestivum_CS42_TGACv1_scaffold_288181_4AL
GAAAUACUUCCUCCGCCAGGAAAUACUUGUCGGAAGAAUGAAUAUAUCUAAACGUAUUUUACUUUUAGAUACAUCCAUUUUUUGACAAGUAUUUUCGGACGGAGGGAGUAUAAU